rnacentral:rRNA from 1 species
UUGUCGUGCCAACGGCAUAGCUGGGUAGCUAUGUGUGGACGGGAUAAGUGCUGAAAGCAUCUAAGCAUGAAGCCCCCCCUCAAGAUGAGAUUUCCCAACUUCGGUUAUAAGAUCCCUCAAAGAUGAUGAGGUUAAUAGGUUCGAGGUGGAAGCAUGGUGACAUGUGGAGCUGACGAAUACUAAUCGAUCGAAGACUUAAUCAA